rnacentral:rRNA from 1 species
UACGUAGGCAGCAAGCGUUGUUCGGAGUUACUGGGCGUAAAGGGUGUGUAGGCGGUUGUUUAAGUUUGGUGUGAAAUCUCCCGGCUCAACUGGGAGGUGCGCCGAAUACUGAAUGACUAGAGUGCGGGAGAGGCGAGUGGAAUCCUGGUGUAGCGGUGAAAUGCGCAGAUAUCAGGAGGAACACCAAUUGCGAAGGCAGCUCGCUGGAACGUAACUGACGCUGAGACGCGAAAGCGUGGGGAGCAAACAGG